rnacentral:rRNA from 1 species
UGGGGAAUAUUGCGCAAUGGGCGAAAGCCUGACGCAGCGACGCCGCGUGAGGGAUGAAGGCCCUCGGGUUGUAAACCUCUUUCAGCAGGGACGAAGCGCAAGUGACGGUACCUGCAGAAGAAGCACCGGCCAACUACGUGCCAGCAGCCGCGGUAAUACGUAGGGUGCAAGCGUUGUCCGGAAUUAUUGGGCGUAAAGAGCUCGUAGGCGGCCUGUCGCGUCGGCUGUGAAAAUCCGGGGCUCAACCCCGGACCUGCAGUCGAUACGGGCAGGCUAGAGUCCGGCAGGGGAGACUGGAAUUCCUGGUGUAGCGGUGAAAUGCGCAGAUAUCAGGAGGAACACCGGUGGCGAAGGCGGGUCUCUGGGCCGGAACUGACGCUGAGGAGCGAAAGCGUGGGGAGCGAACAGG